UCGUGCUAGAUGGGGAAUUAGCGGUGCCCUGUGACCUGCAACCCGCUAUAGCAGGAUCGAUGCUUGUGUGCGGCGGAUGCUGAUUUUUGCGUACGAAUUAAGUGGUAUUGAAGUUUCAAUUCUUCGCAAUGGUUUUGCACUAAAUCCCGUCAGGACCGGAAGGGAGCAGCGGUAGGUGACUAAAAUUAUGUGCCGGGGAACCCCUGAAAUGGAGCUAACUGAUUUAUUAUGCAGUUAUCCCAGAUUUGUCAAAUACAAGUGCACGG
rnacentral:SRP_RNA from 1 species